rnacentral:lncRNA from 1 species
UGGCCAGGUCGUCUUGCAGGACGGCCUUUUUUUGUUGUUGAUUUCCAGAAAGUGGAAUAGAUCGAGAGGGGGAGAUGCGAGACCUUUGAUAAAAACCCAAGAAGCGUAAAUCAGCAGAGAAGAGAUAAAACACUGGUAAAAAUGUGCUCUGCCUGCCAAAUUCCAGGGAAGGAUCCUGCCUCUGUAUAAGAACUUUGGAAAGGCAAACUUCAUUUUUUGAGGGGCUUACGAAAUGUGCAGUCAGAAGAACUAGAAACCUUGGCACCGGCUCCGGUANGGAAAGCAACUGAGGAAAGGAGCAAUCAAGACUUGAGAAAUGCCUGAGGCUCACGUGCUAAGAGAGAAGGUGGAGGCAGCUAACUUGGCUGCCCUGGUGAAGUGAGAUAUUGCUAGCAGACCAAUAACAGCAGAAGCCUGGACGUAACUUUUGCAAGGCGGCAGAUGUGGUGCUAGUAAGUGCCAAUAUUUAUUUUACAAAAUGUUGCUCAUGGCAGAUGUGAAGUUCACAGC